rnacentral:rRNA from 1 species
CGGAGGUGGCAAGCGUUGCUCGGAAUCACUGGGCGUAAAGGGCGCGUAGGCGGGAGGUAAGUCGGGUGUGAAAUCCCUUGGCUCAACCGAGGAACUGCGCCCGAGACUGCUUCUCUUGAGUCCCGGAGAGGAAGGUGGAAUUCCCGGUGUAGCGGUGAAAUGUGUAGAGAUCGGGAGGAACACCGGUGGCGAAGGCGGCCUUCUGGACGGUGACUGACGCUGAGGCGCGAAAAGCGUGGGGGAGCAAACGGGAUU